AUUCUUUUAGUAUAAAUAAUAUUACUGACUUCCAAUUAGUAGAUUUUGGUAAACUCCAAAAAAGAAUA
rnacentral:tRNA from 1 species